CAAAGGUUAAUUCCGGUGGCGGAUGGGCAUGCGUCGCAUUAGUUAGUUGGCGGUGUAACGGACCACCAAGACGACGAUGCGUAGGGGUUCUGAGAGGAAGGUCCCCCACACUGGUACUGAGACACGGACCAGACUCCUACGGGAGGCAGCAGUGAGGAAUAUUGGUCAAUGGGCGGGAGCCUGAACCAGCCAAGUCGCGUGAGGGAUGACGGCCCUAUGGGUUGUAAACCUCUUUUGCCGGGGAGCAAAGUGCCGCACGUGUGCGGUUUGGAGAGUACCCGGAGAAAAAGCAUCGGCUAACUCCGUGCCAGCAGCCGCGGUAAUACGGAGGAUGCGAGCGUUAUCCGGAUUUAUUGGGUUUAAAGGGUGCGUAGGCGGACGCUUAAGUCAGCGGUAAAAUUGCGGGGCUCAACCUCGUCGAGCCGUUGAAACUGGGUGCCUUGAGUGGGCGAGAAGUACGCGGAAUGCGUGGUGUAGCGGUGAAAUGCAUAGAUAUCACGCAGAACUCCGAUUGCGAAGGCAGCGUACCGGCGCCCAACUGACGCUGAAGCACGAAGGCGUGGGUAUCGAACAGGAUUAGAUACCCUGGUAGUCCACGCAGUAAACGA
rnacentral:rRNA from 1 species